rnacentral:rRNA from 1 species
UACGGGGGGGGUAAGCGUUGUUCGGAAUUACUGGGCGUAAAGGGCUCGUAGGCGGCCAACUAAGUCGGACGUGAAAUCCCUCAGCCUAACUGGGGAACUGCGUCCGAUACUGGAUGGCUUGGAUUUGGGAGAGGGAUGCGGAAUUCCAGGUGUAGCGGUGAAAUGCGUAGAUAUCUGGAGGAACACCGGUGGCGAAGGCGGCAUCCUGGACCAAUAUUGACGCUGAGGAGCGAAAGCCAGGGGAGCAAACGGG